AUAAGCAUAAAUCCUUUGAAUAAAUUUCAGAAGAAUAACUGAAUUAGAAAUGCAAGUAAAGUAUCUAAAAAACUUCACUGUCCUAGGCAGAGGAGGAGAUGUGAGAAGCAGAGGGAAAGAGAGAAUUCCUCUCUGGCGACCUUCCCUGGGUUACCAGGGACCUGGGACAAGGUCUGGCUCAGGGAAAGACAGUUCUUAACCCUACUCUGAGCCCAGUGGCAAAUAAAAUAGCCCCCUCUCCUCUUCCCACUGGUAUGUUCCGAGGAAUUCGAGUCGUAAUUCAUCAUAAAUUAAUUUUGGAGAAACAACAGGCUUGGGGCACGUUAUAAUUAUUGUUAUUUGUUUAUUUAUUAUCACGUUAACCGUUAUUUAUUAUUAUGUUACGCAUAUGUGAGACCACAAAGGCUGCUCCCCGCAGUUUCCUGGCAACACGGCCGUGAGUUCUUCACACGCAAGUUACCAAGUGCGCGGCUCCGAGAAGGGCGGGUGGGAGGAGCUGGACGCGGUUUGGGGUCCCCGGCUUCUGCGCUUUCCUGAGGGGACCCAGUGGGACGGCCGGUCCGGAUGAAGAGUCUGUCUGGCACUGCGGCGACGGUUCAUGAUCUGCACAGCAGAUCGUCUGCAAACAAAGACCAUUUAGAGGCAAAGCUCUGGCCCCGAGAAAGACGCCAGGGGCUGGCUCAAGUUCAAGGAGGAAGAGGGCCCUUCUUGGUGUUCUGGGCAGCCGGCCACAGACACCUUCCAUCCCACCAGGCCACUCAGGGAGGAGGAGAUCGUGUUCCUCUGUGCAUCCGCCCCAGUUCACAGAGCAGUACUGACUCACAGGAGUGCUUCACUGAAGCCCACGCUUUAUUCGGGGUUCUCUAGUCUUUACCUAAAAUCCGUCUCUACCCCGGACCCCAGCCGGGACACCCCAUGGCCCUCAAUCCUCAGUUCUCCUUAGACUCCUCUUGGUGGUGAUGGAUUCUCAGACUUUCCUGUGUUGAAUGACCUUGACCUUGGCUGUUCUGAGGAGGACCGGCAGGAACACUGAAGAAUUGGAGUUUGAUGUUUUUCUCAUAGUGGGUUGAGUGGAGACUGCACCUGUGAUGGAGGUCGAGCGCUUUCAUCCCAUCCCAUCAAGGGUGCAUCGGGUCAACGUAACCGAGCAUGGUUAAACGUGAUGACCUGGCUGAAGCAGUGUCUGCCAGGUUUCUCCACUGUAAAACUGCCUUACCCCUUUCCAUACCUUUUGGAAGAAGUCAUUAUGAGCAGCCCACGUGGCCAAAGUGGGGAGCUGUGCUUCCCCUCUUCAAGGGCAGGGGAUCUACAUAAGUUAUUUGGAAGUCUGCACAGAAAACUUGUCACUCUCCCUCCAAUUAUUUAUUUCCUCAGUCAUUUCUAUCAGAAUAGGCUGG
rnacentral:lncRNA from 1 species